rnacentral:rRNA from 1 species
AGGAAUCUGCCUAUUAGUGGGGGACAACAUCUCGAAAGGGAUGCUAAUACCGCAUACGUCCUACGGGAGAAAGCAGGGGAUCACUUGUGACCUUGCGCUAAUAGAUGAGCCUAAGUCGGAUUAGCUAGUUGAUGGGGUAAAGGCCUACCAAGGCGACGAUCUGUAGCGGGUCUGAGAGGAUGAUCCGCCACACUGGGACUGAGACACGGCCCAGACUCCUACGGGAGGCAGCAGUGGGGAAUAUUGGACAAUGGGGGGAACCCUGAUCCAGCCAUGCCGCGUGUGUGAAGAAGGCCUUAUGGUUGUAAAGCACUUUAAGCGAGGAGGAGGCUCUUUUGGUUAAUACCCAGAAUGAGUGGACGUUACUCGCAGAAUAAGCACCGGCUAACUCUGUGCCAGCAGCCGCGGUAAUACAGAGGGUGCAAGCGUUAAUCGGAUUUACUGGGCGUAAAGCGCGCGUAGGCGGCCAAUUAAGUCAAAUGUGAAAUCCCCGAGCUUAACUUGGGAAUUGCAUUCGAUACUGGUUGGCUAGAGUGUGGGAGAGGAUGGUAGAAUUCCAGGU